rnacentral:rRNA from 1 species
GACGUAGGGCGCGAGCGUUGUCCGGAUUUAUUGGGCGUAAAGAGCUCGUAGGCGGCUUGUCGCGUCGACUGUGAAAUCCCGCGGCUCAACCGCGGGUCUGCAGUCGAUACGGGCAGGCUAGAGUUCGGUAGGGGAGACUGGAAUUCCUGGUGUAGCGGUGAAAUGCGUAGAGAUCUGGAGGAACACCGAUGGCGAAGGCAGCCUUCUGGGCCAACACUGACGCUCAUGCACGAAAGCGUGGGGAGCAAACAGG